AACGAACGCUGGCGGCAUGCCUAACACAUGCAAGUCGAACGAGACCUUCGGGUCUAGUUGCGCACGGGUGCGUAACGAGUGGGAACCUGCCCUUAGGUUCGGAAUAACUCCCCGAAAGGGGUGCUAAUACCGGAUAAUGUCUUCGGACCAAAGAUUUAUCGCCGUGGGAUGGGCCCGCGUUGGAUUAGCUAGUUGGUAGGGGAAAAGCCUACCAAGGCUACGAUCCAUAGAUGGUCUGAGAGGAUGAUCGGCCACACUGGGACGGAGACACGGCCCAGACUCCUACAGGAGGCAGCAGGGGGGUAUAUGGCACAAUGGGAGGAAGCCGGAUGCAGCAACGCCGCGUGCGGGAUGACGGCCGUCGGGUUGCAAACCGCUUGCGCCGGUGACGAAGCGUGAGUGACGGUAAUGGGUAAAGAAGCACCGGCUAACUACGUG
rnacentral:rRNA from 1 species